rnacentral:ncRNA from 1 species
UUCCCUCCGAAGUUUCCCUUAGGAUAGCUGGAGCCCGCGGGCGAGUUCUAUCGGGUAAAGCCAAUGAUUAGAGGCAUCGGGGGCGCAACGCCCUCGACCUAUUCUCAAACUUUAAAUAGGUAGGACGGUGCGACUGCUCUGUUGAGCCGUGCCACGGAAUCGAGAGCUCCAAGUGGGCCAUUUUUGGUAAGCAGAACUGGCGAUGCGGGAUGAACCGGAAGCUGGGUUACAGUCCCCAACCGCGCGCUAACCUAGACCCCACAAAGGGUGUUGGUCGAUUAAGACAGCAAGACGGUGGUCAUGGCAGUCGAAAUCCGCUAAGGAGUGUGUAACAACUCACAUGCCGAAUCAACUAGCCCCGAAAAUGGAUGGCGCUAAAGCGCGCGACCUAUACCCGGCCGUCGGGGCAAGUACCAAGCCCCGAUGAGUAGGAGGGCGCGGCGGUCGCUGUAAAACCAAGGGCGUUAGCUCGGGCGGAGCGGCCGUCGGUG